rnacentral:rRNA from 1 species
GCGCCGGCUAACUCUGUGCCAGCAGCCGCGGUAAUACAGAGGGUGCGAGCGUUAAUCGGAUUUACUGGGCGUAAAGCGUGCGUAGGCGGCUGAUUAAGUCGGAUGUGAAAUCCCUGAGCUUAACUUAGGAAUUGCAUUCGAUACUGGUCAGCUAGAGUAUGGGAGAGGAUGGUAGAAUUCCAGGUGUAGCGGUGAAAUGCGUAGAGAUCUGGAGGAAUACCGAUGGCGAAGGCAGCCAUCUGGCCUAAUACUGACGCUGAGGUACGAAAGCAUGGGGAGCAAACAGGAUUAGAUACCCUGGUAGUCCAUGCCGUAAACGAUGUCUACUAGCCGUUGGGGCCUUUGAGGCUUUAGUGGCGCAGCUAACGCGAUAAGUAGACCGCCUGGGGAGUACGGUCGCAAGACUAAAACUCAAAUGAAUUGACGGGGGCCCGCACAAGCGGUGGAGCAUGUGGUUUAAUUCGAUGCAACGCGAAGAACCUUACCUGGCCUUGACAUACUAGAAACUUUCCAGAGAUGGAUUGGUGCCUUCGGGAAUCUAGAUACAGGUGCUGCAUGGCUGUCGUACGGUCGUGUCGCGAGAUGUGGGUUCAGUCCGGAAGAACGCAACCUUUCCUUAU